rnacentral:rRNA from 1 species
AACGAACGCUGGCGGCAGGCCUAACACAUGCAAGUCGAGCGCGCCCUUCGGGGUGAGCGGCGGACGGGGGAGUAACGCGUGGGAACAUGCCCUUUUCUACGGAAUAGCCUCGGGAAACAGAGAGUAAUACCGGAUACGCUCCUGGGUGGAAAGAUUUGUCGGAAAAGGAGCGGCGCGGGUUGGAUUAGGUAGUUGGUGGGGUAAGUGCCUACCAAUCGUUGGAGCCAUAGCUGGUUUGAGAGGAUGAUAAGCCACACUGGUACUGAGACACGGCCCAGACUAUUACGCGAGGGAGCAGUGGCGAAUCUUGGAAUAUGGGGGCAACCAUGAUCUAGCCAUGCCGCGUGAGUGAUGAAGGUCUUAGGGUUGUAAAGCAAUUUAAGCUGGGAAGAUAAUGACGGUACCAGCAGAAGAAGCCCCGGCUAACUCCGUG